GCAGCUCGCAGGCAACGGGCGGCCGUGUUACACCAGGCUGGUUUAGUCUGAAGGCUCAGGAACUUGUUUUGACUUAGCGCUGCGUACUAAAUACCUAAAACAAAGGCAGCCUACAUGAGACACUGCCCGGGACAGCUGGGGAGCAGAGACUGAGCCGCAGCCGUCAUAUGAUAGGAAAGAAAUACGACAAAUCUCUCCUGGUACUAAUGCAGUGAGACAAAGGGUUGGGCUGUCCCUGUCCCUGGAGGUGUGACAUCCAGCGAGCGGAUCCGAAGAGCCUGUAGCCACAGUCCGGCUCCCGAGUGGCCCAAGCAGCCGUGCGUGGCUAGCCGCUGGUUCUCACUGCUGCCAAAAUCAGGCUUUCAUGAUGCAACUAGAUACAGAUAAUCAAAGAGGUUGAAGUUAAGAGGUGAAAGAUAUGAAUUAUUAUUUUCCAAAUUCUGAAGUAAUUUACAAGAUGAUGUCAAAUCAUGUAACAUCCUGCUCCAGCAGAUGCUUCUGGAGAGAGACCUUCUAGAUGAUGCAUUCGGGACUCGGCUGGAGGAAGUGUCCACCCAGUCCCAAGGGGCACUUGGGACCUGCUGAUAACUUCAGUGUGAGCACGGUCAGACCUGGAGAUGCCGGUAACUGCCCUGCAACGACAAGGGCACUGGGAGAGGCUGCAGGGCUGCUGAACUUUCCCAUUUUCCUUUUGGUGAAAGGACUCCGUACCAGAAGAGGACGUGGUGGUGUAAAGGAGCACUGCAGCUUCUAGCAUCCCCCGACAAAACUGCAAAGAUGGUAUAAUACGUGUCCCUCAAAGCAAAAAGCAAGUGAUGAAAGACAGUGCCAGGUCUGAAUUUCUAUAAGCAGAAAAACAGCAGUUCAUAAAGGUUAACGCUGCAGCAAAGGGUAUAUAGUGCCUUUUGUGGUACCCAGUGGUGGUGUCGAGUGCAUUUGAGACCAGCAAAAUUUGCUGAAAAGAUCAUAGAACCAUAGAAUCACAGAAUGGUUUGGGCUGAAAUGAACUUUAAAGCUGAUCUUGUUCCACCCCCUGCACUGGGCAGACCAGGCUCCAGGAAAGCUGGGGAGGGACUCUGGAGCAGGGAGGGGAGCCGUGGGACGAGGGGGAAGGGUUUUCCACUGACAGAGGGGAGACUGAGAUGAGAUGUGAGGCAGAAAUUCUUGGCUGUGAGGGCGGUGAGCCCCUGGCCCAGGGUGCCCAGAGAAGCUGUGGCUGCCCCAUCCCUGGAGGGGUUCAAGGCCAGGUUGGACGGGGCUUGGAGCAACCUGGGCUGGUGGGAGGUGUCCCUGCCCAGGGCAGGGGGUGCCACUGGGGGGGCUUUAAGGUCCCUUCCCACCCAAACCAGUCUGUGAUUCUAUGAUUAAGGCAAGAACCCGGCGGGACAAACGAUGGGUGCAGCGGUGGCUGUGAGGGGAGCAGGCAGAUGUGCACGUCUGGCUGGGCUUGUGUGGAGGAGCGGGGUGUGGAGGCCCGGGGUUCCUCCAGCAAAGACGGAGGCUGGCGUCUCUGCUUCUGCCCGGUUCUUGUGUUUGAGGUAUCGCCCUUACGCUGCAUCUGCUGCUGUAUCAACCAAAAGUAGGUGUCGGACUUCAUCAUUUAAGUCCCCCAACAACCAAUUAGCUGCAUACAUUCCAAAAAGAACAUCUGAAGCUUCUGAACUGACUUUUCCCUAUUUUUGCACGUAGGAGCAAAGCCUUCAAACAGAAGGUCCUUUGAUGCCACCUGAACGCAAUGGUGAAGUGGCACAAACCGGGAAGGGGCAUGUAUUAGAAACCUCUAAAGCUUUUACAGUAGGCAGGCUUAUCAGUUUUAAUCCCGUAACACCUAGAUUAUUCUUAAAAUACAGUGUUUAUUUUUGGACCCUGUUUACUGCUUUAAAUCUUUUAAUAAAAGCCUGCGUUACAUAAACUCUUUCAUACACCCCUAGUUUCCAUUGUAGGAGGCAGAACGCUUAAAAAAGGAACAUUGGCUUCCGCUGGAUUACUCGGAGACCUGGAAAUAAGAGUUUUGCACCAAUAUCACUAUUUUGGUUAAAGGAUGAUUCCAGGUGCCGCACACAACCGGACACUUCGACAUGAGACGUGCGGUACCUGCUGGGGAAGGGAACAGCGGUCCCCAGCUGAGCCGUACCAUGUGAAGAUGUACACGCAGUUACAAGCUGCGUUUCCUUUCCAAGAUUAAUUAGUAAUAAUACAUCUGCGGUGCGCUCGCAGUAUAUCCGA